ensembl:snRNA U1 U1 spliceosomal RNA
AUACUUACCUGGCAAGGGAGACACCGUGAUCACCAAGGCGGUUCACCCAGGGCGAGGCUCGGCCAUUGCACUCCGCUGUGCUGACCCCUGCGAAUUUCCCAAAUGUGGAAAUCUCGAUUGCAUAAUUUCUGGUAGUGGGGGACUGCGUUCGCGCUCUCCUCCC